ensembl:snoRNA
GAGCAAUGAUGAAAAGGUUUUACUGUGGACCUUUAUAACUAUGAAGGUUUCUACACUUGCUCUGAGCUCA